UACGUAGGGGGCGAGCGUUGUCCGGAUUUAUUGGGCGUAAAGAGCGUGUAGGCGGUUCGGUAAGUCUGUCGUGAAAUCCUGGGGCUCAACCCCGGGCGUGCGGUGGAUACUGCCGGGCUAGAGGGUGGUAGAGGCGAGUGGAAUUCUCGGUGUAGAGGUGAAAUUCGUAGAUAUCGAGAGGAACACCGGUGGCGAAGGCGGCUUUCUGGACGGUUACUGACGCUGAGACGCGAAAGCCAGGGGAGCAAACGGG
rnacentral:rRNA from 1 species